GAGCCACCCACCAUGCCCGGCCGGUGGGGUGCCUUAGGAUCGGGCCUUCUAACUCUGUCCCUACCUCUCUCCAGAUGCCACAGGGACCAGUGGGCUCCGGGUCCUGCCCCAGGGCUACGGCUGGAACCUGCUGUAUGGCUCCCUGCUGCUGGGCCUUGUGGGUGGGGUCUGCACCCUGGGAGCCGGCCUCUACGCCCGGGCCUCAUUCCUGACAUUCCUGCUGGUCUCCGGCUCCCUGGCCUCCGUGCUUAUCAGCUUUGUGGCUGUGGGGCCGAGGGACAUCCGCUUGACCCCUCGGCCUGGCCCCAAUGGCUCCUCCCUGCCACCCCGGUUUGGCCACUUCACCGGCUUCAACAGCAAUACCCUGAAGGACAACUUGGGUGGUGAGCUGGGCACUGCCGUGGCAGGGAUCUCAGGGUGAGGGGUGGGCAGGCGUCGGGGCUGGGCCCUUAAAAAAAUCUCUGGAUGAGCACAGGUGUCAGAGGGACUGGAGGGCAGGAGGUCUGGACUGCAGAGCAGUGCAAUUUAAUUCAAGCCUGUCUAGUGUGUGCUUGGCCGGUGGGGCAGGAGGAAGCCCACAAAACAGUCCCUGCUUUAGAGGAACUUGUGUUCUAGCUGAGGAGAGACGUGCAUUCAGGAAUCAGUUAAAUAGCACAGGAAGGCCCAGCAUGACUUAAACAGAUCAGGAUCUCCCAUGAGUGGAGAGAAGGGAGGCCUGACUAUGGGCUGGGGAGGGCAGGAGCUGGGGAGCUGGAGGUGGCCUGAGAUAGAUGGGUGGGGGAUUCAGUCAGGAGCUGGGAGCAGAGAGAGAAGGCAUCUCAGGAAAGAGCUUGAGACCACGUGCGGUGGCUCACGCCUGUAAUCCCAGCAUUCUGGGAGGCCGAGGCAGGAGGAUCACCUGAGGUCAGGAGUUUGAGACCAGUCAGGUCAACAUGGUGAAACCCUCUCCCCGUCUCUACUAAAACCACAAAAAUUAGCUGGGCAUGCUGGCUUGCACCUGUAGUGCCAGAUACUCGGGAAGCUGAGGGAGAAUUGCUUGAACCCAGGAGGAGGAGGUUUCAGUGAGCCGAGAUUGCGCCAUUGCACUCCAGCCUGGGUGACAGAGUGAGGUUCCGUCUUCAAAAAAAAAAAAAAAAAUUAAAUAAAAAUACAAAAAUUACCCAGGGGUGGUGGUGUGCGCCUGUAGUCCCAGCUACUCAGGAGGCUGAGGCAUGAGAAUCUCUUGAACCCGGGAGGCAGAGGCUGCAGUGAGCUAAGAUCGCCACCACUGCCCUGCAGCCUGGGCUUCAGAACGAGACUCCGUCUCAAAAAAAUAAAUAGGCUGGGUGCAGUGGCUCCCGCCUGUAAUUCCAGGACUUUCGGAGGUCGAGGCGGGUGGAUCACCUGAGGCCAGGAGUUCGAGAUCAGCCUGGCCAACAUGGUGAAACCCAAUCUCUACUAAAAAUACAAAAAUUAGCCAGGCGUGGUGGUGGGCACCUGUAAUCCCAGCUACCUGAGAGGCUGAGGCAGGGGAAUUGCUUGAACCUGGGAGGCAGAGGUUGCAGUGAGCCGAGAUCGCACCACUGCACUCUGGCCUGGGUGACACAGUGAGAAUCCGUCUGAAAAUAAAUAAAUAAAUAAAAUUAAAAAGUUAGAUGGGCAUGGUGGUGCACACCUGUAGUCCCAGCUACUUGGCAGACUGACGCAGGAGGAUCGCUCUAGCCCAGGAGGUAGAGGUUGCAGUGAGCUACCAUGGUGCCACUGCACUCCAGCCUGGAAGACAGAGCGAGACCCUGUCUCUAAAAAAUAAAUAAAUAAAUAAAAGGGCGUGGAUUAGGGUCUGGAGGGAGGAAUAUCGGAGCACUGGGGGGAUGUGGCAAUGUGUCUGGCGGACCCAGGGCCAGUGCAGGAACAGGCUGGGGUCUUAGUGAGGGCAGUGCAGGGGAGGCAAGAGGACCGUGGGAAUGUGUGGAGAGGGUGGCUAAGAGGCCUGGAUCCCUGAGAGGGAUGCUGAUGCGCUCUCCUCCCUGGGAGGAUCCUCCUAGCUGGCUAUGCUGAGGACUACACCACGGGAGCCAUGAUGAAUUUUGCCAGCGUCUUUGCUGUCCUCUUUAACGGCUGUACAGGCAUCAUGGCUGGGGCCAACAUGUCAGGGGAGCUGAAGGACCCCAGCCGGGCGAUCCCUCUGGGCACGAUCGUCGCCGUCGCCUACACCUUCUUCGUCUAUGUCCUGCUUUUCUUUCUCUCCAGCUUCACUUGUGGCAGGACCCUGCUGCAGGAAGACUAUGGGUUCUUCCGCGCCAUCAGCCUGUGGCCCCCACUGGUGUUGAUCGGAAUCUAUGCCACGGCACUCUCAGCAUCCAUGAGCUCGCUCAUUGGUGCCUCCCGCAUCCUCCAUGCCCUGGCCCGGGAUGACCUCUUUGGAGUGAUCUUGGCACCAGCCAAGGUUGUGUCCCGAGGGGGAAACCCCUGGGCGGCUGUACUGUAUUCUUGGGGACUGGUGCAGCUGGUGCUCCUGGCUGGGAAGCUGAACACGCUGGCCGCUGUGGUCACUGUCUUCUAUCUGGUGGCCUAUGCUGCCGUGGACCUGUCCUGCCUGAGCCUGGAGUGGGCCUCGGCCCCCAACUUCCGCCCCACCUUCAGCCUGUUCUCCUGGCACACCUGCCUGCUGGGGGUGGCCUCCUGCCUGCUCAUGAUGUUCCUCAUCAGUCCUGGCGCGGCCGGUGGCUCCCUGCUCCUCAUGGGUCUGCUGGCUGCCCUGCUCACCGUGCGAGGAGGCCCCAGUAGCUGGGGCUAUGUCAGCCAGGCCUUGCUUUUCCACCAGGUGCGUAAGUAUCUGCUCCGGCUGGACGUCCGGAAGGAUCACGUGAAGUUCUGGCGGCCCCAGCUGCUGCUCCUGGUGGGGAACCCCCGGGGUUCCCUGCCUCUGCUGCGGUUGGCCAACCAGCUUAAGAAGGGGGGGCUCUACGUGCUGGGCCACGUCACUCUGGGAGACCUCGACUCCCUACCCUCGGACCCUGUACAGCCGCAGUACGGGGCAUGGCUCAGCCUGGUGGACCGUGCCCAGGUGAAGGCUUUUGUGGAUCUAACCCUCUCACCCUCCGUGCGCCAGGGGGCUCAGCAUCUGCUGCGAAUCUCUGGCCUCGGUGGCAUGAAGCCCAACACGUUGGUCCUGGGUUUCUACGAUGACACUCCACCGCAGGACCAUUUCCUGACGGACCCGGCUUUCUCUGAGCCUGCAGACAGCACCAGGGAGGGCAGUUCCCCAGCUCUGAGCACCCUGUUCCCUCCUCCCCGGGCUCCUGGGAGCCCCCGGGCUCUCAGUCCCCAGGACUACGUGGCCACGGUGGCCGAUGCCCUCAAGAUGAACAAGAAUGUGGUGCUGGCCCGGGCCAGCGGGGCCUUGCCCCCUGAGCGGCUGAGCCGGGGGUCUGGGGGCACCUCUCAGCUGCACCACGUGGACGUGUGGCCCCUCAACCUGCUGCGGCCCCGGGGUGGGCCCGGCUACGUGGAUGUCUGCGGUCUCUUCCUGCUGCAGAUGGCAACCAUCUUGGGCAUGGUGCCCGCUUGGCAUAGUGCCCGGCUCCGGAUCUUCCUGUGCCUGGGGCCUCGGGAGGCGCCUGGGGCUGCCGAGGGGCGGCUGCGGGCACUGCUGAGCCAACUGAGGAUCCGGGCUGAGGUGCAGGAGGUGGUGUGGGGCGAGGGGGCCGGGGCUGGGGAACCCGAGGCGGAGGAGGAAGGGGACUUUGUGAACAGUGGGUGGGGAGACGCAGAGGCAGAGGCCCUGGCACGCAGCGCCAACGCCCUGGUUCGGGCCCAGCAGGGGCGCGGCACAGGAGGAGGGCCGGGUGGACCGGAGGGUGGGGAUGCUGAGGGCACCACCACAGCCCUCACCUUCCUGUACUUGCCUCGGCCACCAGCCGAUCCCGCCCGAUACCCCCGCUACCUAGCUCUACUGGAGACUCUAACCCGAGACCUGGGCCCCACGCUGCUGGUUCAUGGGGUCACUCCAGUCACCUGCACUGAUCUCUGAUGCCCCUGCCUCCAGGGCUAGGUAGAGAGGGCCCAGGCAGGCGGCCUAUCCUGAUCCUUGGAGGAGGAAGAGGAGGAGGGAAGCACUGUGUCCCAUGGCCCUGCUCUUGGGAGGUGGAGCCCAGGGGAGGUUUGAAGGGGAUCCUGGGCUUGGGCAUCACGCCCACCUCCUUUGGCAGAGGGACCCCAGCACACUAACUCUGGGCGGCUGUCCCCACCGUGCAGGGGAAGGAGUCCGCAGCCUCCCUUCACUGGUGCCUUGACGCUAGGGGCCAGGCCUCCUCCGUGACUCUGGGCUACCUCAGUUUCCCCAUUUUGGCAAGACUCACCGGCCCACUGGGGUGGUGAUGUUUUCGUUCUGUUUUAUUUUUCUAACUCUGCUGACCAUGAAUAAAAGACCAAAACACU
rnacentral:sRNA from 1 species